AAAUAAUACGACUAAAGUUUUUAGUAAAAAGUUGAAGUCUGCCUCAAUAAAUGAAGUCAGUGAUAAGACUUGAUCUGAAAAGUUUCGUGCGGAUUAAAAACCAGCUAGUUCGACUGGGAUCGCAUAUGGCACACUACGCGAUUCAUUCGUGAUUUGGCCGCGUUCGUUUUUGUUGACGGCGCGAUUGAUCGUUCAAUAUUAGGGAUGGAUAGUUGGUGAGUGUGUUGAUUCAAAGAGUUAACUCUAUUAGGUAAACUCAACGAAUUGUAUCAGUGUGUUAUAUAGUUCAGCAAUUCGACGACUCAGUGUUAGUGUCAGUACUCCCCCGUCCACGAAAACUCCGUUUCAAAACUCAGUUGCCAGUGUGCUUUAUCGUAGUUCAUGGUUGCCACCACGGCGGUGUAAAAAGAACCGCACUACCUAUCGAUAAUCUCGUUAGUUAGAAAGAGAAGUCACUCCGUCGGCAACCAUGUGUUCCGUUUUUGUGCAAGAGAUUUGGUCGUUUUGGUUUUAUACUAUAAAAUUGUAUUUAAUAAUUGCGAAUUAACGGUUUCCGAGAAUAUAGUUACACCAAUCCCCCGGGAAAAGCGUCCCGCGGUAAUCGAAUCUAAUGAGGGGGGGGAGGGGUCCAACUGUCUGAGGUGGGAUUACUCCGUCAGUGAUUCGCAAUGUCGCAUAUUAUUAAACCUUUGCAUUCGCACGACCCUUCACACAGUUUAUGU